rnacentral:rRNA from 1 species
GAUGAACGCUGGCGGCGUGCCUAAUACAUGCAAGUCGAGCGAACGGACGAGAAGCUUGCUUCUCUGAUGUUAGCGGCGGACGGGUGAGUAACACGUGGAUAACCUACCUAUAAGACUGGGAUAACUUCGGGAAACCGUAGCUAAUACCGGAUAAUAUUUUGAACCGCAUGGUUCAAAAGUGAAAGACGUUCUUGCUGUCACUUAUAUAUGGAUCCGCGCUGCAUUAGCUAGUUGGUAAGGUAACGGCUUACCAAGGCAACGAUGCAUAGCCGACCUGAGAGGGUGAUCGGCCACACUGGAACUGAGACACGGUCCAGACUCCUACGGGAGGCAGCAGUAGGGAAUCUUCCGCAAUGGGCGAAAGCCUGACGGAGCAACGCCGCGUGAGUGAUGAAGGUCUUCGGAUCGUAAAACUCUGUUAUUAGGGAAGAACAUAUGUGUAAGUAACUGUGCACAUCUUGACGGUACCUAAUCAGAAAGCCACGGCUAACUACGUG